rnacentral:misc_RNA from 1 species
ACCGGAGAGCAAUAGGGGUUCGCCUAUACACCAUCUUGUAUGUCUGACUGUCUCUGUAGGCUACAAAAAAUUGUAUGACUAUGUCGACAAGAAAAGCUAUUUGACCACAAAUGUCUAAAAGAAAUAGUUUCCUGGGCAAUCCUUUGAAGAAUCCAAACUCCAUUGGUGUAAAAAAAGUUGAAUAUAUAGCCCAAAUCAGGAUAAACUUAUCCCAUAGCUUGUACCACCUGUCAUCGGGAUAAAUGACGAAACCUUGAGAAAGGCCUCUGAG